rnacentral:rRNA from 1 species
CCUACGGGAGGCAGCAGUGAGGAAUUUUGCGCAAUGGGGGCAACCCUGACGCAGCAACGCCGCGUGAGUGAAGAAGGCCUUUGGGUCGUAAAGCUCUGUCAACAGGGAAGAAGUUACAAUUGUUUAACAGAUGRUUGUAUUGACGGUACCUGUGGAGGAAGCGCCGGC